UAAGAGGCUCAGAUGUAAAGUUGCAGAAACACAGGUGGAAAGCUGAAAAGGCAGGCCCUGACCGAGCAAGAUGGGGGAAAUAGUGAGACUUAAGGACCGGAGAAUUACAAGAGACAAAGGGCAUGGGCAAAGGAAGGACCAAAAAAUUGAAGUCUGAGAAAGGAGAGAAUCUGCCCCUCACUGAAGAGGAGCCAUGUCGUGGAUUCAGGCUGGCCGGAAGAACUGGAGGCAAAGCUGACCAGGGGUGCUUCCUCCCAUCCCCCAGCAAGACCAGGGCUCCCUUUGGUACAGCCCCCUCCCACCUCUGGCUGACCAAGAGAGGAAAAGAAACACUACUGCUCCCUAGUGGUUACAGAGGGAAUAUCACCAAGGAGUUGGCAGGACUAAUGGGACCUGACUGGCUUUUUCCUCCCUAACUCCCCUUCAAAAAACAAAACUCCUCCUUUUUCUCCAAACCCAACUCCAUGGCAAAGUCUUUCGAAGUGAGGUCUAUCAGGGCACCAUCAAGUUUGCAUACAAUGAUUUUCACAUCAGGGCCUUCCAAACAGUUGUUUUUCAUUUUUUGAGACAGGGUCUCGCUCGGUCUCCCAGGCUGGAGUGCAGUGUCACCAUCUUGUCUCACUGCAGACUCUGCCUCCUGGACUUAGGUGAUCCUCCCACCUCAGCCUCCCUCCCAGUAGCUGGGACUACAGGCAUGUGCCACCACGCCCAGCUAAGUUUUGUAUUUUUUGUGGAGACAAGGUUUCGCCAUGUUGCCCAGGCUGGUCUCAGAUUCCUGGGCUAAAGCAAUCUGCCCGCUUUGGCCUCCCAAACUGCUGGGAUUACAGGCAUGAGCCACCAAGCCCAACCCUCCUAACAGUUUUGCCUUUCACUUUUCUAAUUGUUUAAUCUACCCACUUUCCCUUAGAGUCAAUUUUAGGACCUUUUUAAAAAAAUUCCUCUCUCUUAAAUUGUUGCCUCAGGCAUUGCACCCUUCCAUACUCACUGUCCUCGCCUUCCUCCCCUUUUUGUCUCAACCUGUUGAUUACAAGAGGAGGUGACCAUGGAGAGAAGGGGAAGAGAAACAGGAAGGAUGAGAUGUGUGUACCCCUAGUAUGGAGGAUUGUUUGGUAUAAACAGCAAAUAAACUAUAACUAGAUGAGCUUUAUUUUUUAGGGCAAUGGAAGAACAUGGGCUUUGGAUCCACGCACAGAGAGCCAAGGUUCAAUCCUUGCUCCAUCACUCACUAGCUGUGCAACUUUGGGAAAUUACUUAUUGAGCCUUAGUCUCCUUAUCUGGGAAAAUGGGAAUAAUGAUAUUUUCCUUACUCAGUUGUGAAGACCAGAUAGGUAACGUGUAAAGUGCAUUUGCUGGGUGUUCAAUGAGGGUAGUUCUUUUCCUUCUCUCUUGACUGUCUCCCAUCAUAGAGUGGAGCAUGGUGUUUGCACAGAGGCUGACAGCUUUCCUUCUGUUCACCCCUUUUUCUUUUUUCUCUUUUUUUUUUUUUGAGACAGAGUCUCGCUCUGUCACCCAGGGUGGAGUGCAAUGGUGUGAUCUCAGCUCACUGCAACCUCCACCUCCCAGGUUCAAGUGAUUCUCCCUGCCUUAGCCUCCCGAGUAGCUGGGAUUACAGGUGCACGCCACCAGGCCUGGCUAAUUUUUGUAUUUCAGUAGAGACGGGGUUUCACCNNNNNNNNNNGGUGAUCCACCUGCCUUGGCCUCCCCAAGUGCUGGGAUUACAGGUGUGAGCCACUGUGCCCGGCCUCUGUUCACCCCUUUCUUGACCAAGACUCAUCUUCUAAUCUCUGCCCUUUUCAACUGAGGGCAGAAUCUUAGAUGGACAGGAUUUUUUUUUUUUUUUUUUUUUUGAGACGGAGUUUCGCUCUUGUUGCCCAGGCUGGAGUACAAUGGUGCGAUCUUGGCUCACUGCAAACUCCACCCCUGGGUUCAAGCGAUUCUCCUGCCUCAGCCUCCCAAGUAGCUGAGACUAUACCCAGGCUCACA
rnacentral:lncRNA from 1 species